rnacentral:rRNA from 1 species
AUUGAACGCUGGCGGCAUGCCUUACACAUGCAAGUCGAACGGCAGCGCGGACUUCGGUCUGGCGGCGAGUGGCGAACGGGUGAGUAAUACAUCGGAACGUACCCUGUUGUGGGGGAUAACUAGUCGAAAGAUUAGCUAAUACCGCAUACGACCUGAGGGUGAAAGUGGGGGAUCGCAAGGCCUCACGCAGCAGGAGCGGCCGAUGUCUGAUUAGCUAGUUGGUGGGGUAAAGGCCCACCAAGGCGACGAUCAGUAGCUGGUCUGAGAGGACGAUCAGCCACACUGGGACUGAGACACGGCCCAGACUCCUACGGGAGGCAGCAGUGGGGAAUUUUGGACAAUGGGGGCAACCCUGAUCCAGCAAUGCCGCGUGUGUGAAGAAGGCCUUCGGGUUGUAAAGCACUUCUGUCCGGAAAGAAAUCGCGCUGGUUAAUACCUGGCGUGGAUGACGGUACCGGAAGAAUAAGCACCGGCUAACUACGUG